rnacentral:rRNA from 1 species
UACGUAGGGGGCUAGCGUUGUCCGGAAUCAUUGGGCGUAAAGAGCGUGUAGGCGGCCCGGUAAGUCCGCUGUGAAAGUCGGGGGCUCAACCCCCGGAUGCCGGUGGAUACUGUCGGGCUCGAGUACGGAAGAGGCGAGUGGAAUUCCUGGUGUAGCGGUGAAAUGCGCAGAUAUCAGGAGGAACACCUAUUGCGAAGGCAGCUCGCUGGGACGUUACUGACGCUGAGACGCGAAAGCGUGGGGAGCAAACAGG